AGACGGACGCCUGGCUUCUGCCGACACCGAGAAAAAAAUGAGAGAGAAGAGAACAAGGAAGAAAGCAAGAAAACAGAAGAAAAGAAAAGAAAAGAAGAAGAAGAGGGAGACGGGAAGUCAGCACAGGUGCAUGAUGGUCGAUUUGAACAGAAAUCGAGUAAACUGAUCAUUCCAGAAUCGGCAACAAGAUGGAGCUAUUAGGACAAAAGUAAGCUCUUGGUUAGAUGAUACCCACAAUUGUGCAUUCGACCAACUGCGAGUUGUCAAAGUAAGCGACUUUUCCGGCAUGAAAGCUGAACUAGCACUCAUCAGAAACAACGAUGCAGACAUUCAAGAUUAUGACAUGAAAGUCAGUUGGUAAUAUACUAUGUUAAUUAGGUGUUAUUUCUUUGAUAUUGACAGGUGAUGUCUUCUGUGGAGUUGGUCCAAUAGCUAUCUCUGCAGCAUAGAUUGUAGGACGAGUUUAUGCUGCUAAAUAUCUGCAAGGAAAUAGUGGUCUCAACAACCUCGAUAGGAAGAUUAAGGUACAUGCAAGAUUAUCUUCCCUGUCAGUGCUUCUACUCCUGCUGAAUUGUAAAUGAAAGAAUAUCUCCAUUUGUAAAUGAAAGAUCAGUUUGUGUUUUCACUUCCAUUUGUAAUAUCUUCUGUAUAUACAAUAAAAUCCUUUUUCAUUUACAAGAUUUGUUACAAUAUAAAAUAAUCAUAAUAAAUCAAACAUAAAUUAA